GGAGUGUUGGCUCAAUCAGUAGAGCGUCCGCCUCACAACCGGGAGGUCGCGGGUUCGAUCCCCGGCCGCGUCA
rfam:Strongylocentrotus purpuratus Contig97564_fixed, whole genome shotgun sequence.